AACCUAGCACACCUGCGGUGUGUACCUGCGGAAGGAUCAUUAACAAGCUGUGGGAGAUCGAUCAAUUUGAUCUCACACCUGGCCAACCUUGUUAACCUUAAAUAUAUUGCUUUGGUGAGCCCUGCUCACCAAAGUCAAACCCUAAACUCUUGAUUGUUUCUGCUGUCUGAGCAUGCAAGUGCAAAAUUUAGUUAAAAACUUUUAGCAAUGGAUCU
rnacentral:misc_RNA from 1 species